rnacentral:rRNA from 1 species
UACGUAGGGUGCAAGCGUUGUCCGGAAUUAUUGGGCGUAAAGAGCUCGUAGGCGGUUUGUCGCGUCUGCUGUGAAAACUCAGGGCUUAACCCUGAGCCUGCAGUGGGUACGGGCAGGCUAGAGUUCGGUAGGGGAGACUGGAAUUCCUGGUGUAGCGGUGAAAUGCGCAGAUAUCAGGAGGAACACCGGUGCGAAGGCGGGUCUCUGGGCCGAUAUCGACGCUGAGGAGCGAAAGCGUGGGGAGCGAACAGG